AAUACUGUUUGAUCCUGGCUCAGGACGAACGCUGGCGGCGUGCUUAACACAUGCAAGUCGUGCGAUCUUCCUCGAUUGCGAGCUUGCUCAAAAUCGAGAUUCAGAUAGCGGCGAACGGGUGAGUAACGCGUGGGCAACCUGCCCUAGAGACUGGGAUAACUCCUCGAAAGGGGGGCUAAUACCGGAUACCUUUGUUUUUACACAUGUAUUUACAAAGAAAGCCUUCGGGCGCUUUAGGAUGGGCCCGCGUUCCAUUAGCUUGUUGGUAGGGUAACGGCCUACCAAGGCUGUGAUGGGUAGCCGGCCUGAGAGGGCGAUCGGCCACACUGGGACUGAGAUACGGCCCAGACUCCUACGGGAGGCAGCAGUGGGGAAUAUUGCGCAAUGGGCGAAAGCCUGACGCAGCAACGCCGUGUGGAUGAAGAAGGCCUUCGGGUUGUAAAGUCCUGUCACAGGGGACGAAGUCUCUGCUUGUCAGAGAUGACGGUACCCUGAGAGGAAGCCCCGGCUAACUACGUGCCAGCAGCCGCGGUAACACGUAGGGGGCAAGCGUUGUCCGGAAUUAUUGGGCGUAAAGAGCACGUAGGCGGCUUGCCAAGUCAGAUGUGAAAACCUCAGGCUUAACUUGAGGCCUGCAUUUGAUACUGGCUUGCUAGAGUCUAG
rnacentral:rRNA from 1 species